CAGCUUAACUUCUUCACACAGCAUACACUUAACUUAUUGAAUUUUCUGCCACCACAGGAAGCUUCAUACUACAGCUCAACUGGCCCGUCAGCUAUUAUUAUGAGAGUAAAAAUGUCACAACGAACAUCCAUUUCCCAAAUUCCCACACAGAUGCAAGGUUUGCUACUAAAGGAAUGAAAAGCUCAACAGAGUCAGCAAGCCUCUGGGAAUUAGAAGGUAAAUGAAAAGAAAUUCAACCUGAGCCAAGAGCCUAACUUCAGGCAUCAGGAAACUGGACAUACAUGUUCAAUGCAGGCUGUCCUUGAGUCAGAUUUUGAAGAACUGUAGCAAACUCUGGCAAAAGCUUGUUGCUGCCUCAGUGGGCUGCACCUGACCAGAGUUCCUAUUCCGAUACACAACUGGGGGAUGCUCUGUCUGCCUGGGAGGAGCCAUACCAGAAAUGCUGCUUCCAGCUUCUCCUUCUGCUCCUGCUUCUGUGCUUAUUGCAGAAAGUUCAUUAGGAAAAACCAAACAGGCAGAAUAAUUGCACAAAACUUUGUAACUGGAAAGAAUAGAAACCCACUGUCCACAAGCCAGGAUUUCUACUCUGCUUCCAGCACUGCAAGGAAGCUCUUAAGCCAGUGUCACUGUCCUUUUCUGUGUGAAGUUUGCAUUUUUUCCUCCAAGUAGAGCACAUGAAAUGAUCCCCGACUGAAAAGCCGCCUCAUUUAACCUAAGUGUCAUUUGAGCUAAUGAAAAUCUACAGCAGUCUUCUGCAAUGCAUCACAUUCCAGAUGUGUUUGGACUGCAACUACCAUCAUCUUCAGUCAAUGUGACUAUUAGUCACUGGCACCUCAGAUCCCAUCAGCUUAUGUGUGAAGUUGUGUUGCGGGGGUGCUUUUGUUUGCUUUUGCUUUUUGGCCGAUGUGCAAUAUAAAUUUACACUUGCUGACUUGGAACCACAUUUACCAAUCUGAUGCCCAUUCCCCCAGUUUAGAUGCUCAUUUCCCCCAUUUGGGGAGAUCCUUCUGGAGCUCUGAUACCCUUUUUGUUCUUGCCAUCCUAAAUAAAGUACUGUCAUUCGCAAACUGGACUGCCUUACCUUUGCUCAUAAUUGUCAUUUGUGAACAAGUUGAAAAGCCCUGGAUCCAAUCUGGAAUGUACCAAAUUGAAGAGGCCGAAGCACAGCAUAAUCUGUUCCUGAGUGUGAGUUCCUCUCUAUAUGGUAGCAUAUACAACCAUUGCGAUAUGAGCAGAUCACCACAAAAGACCUUAUAUUAGAACAGACGUAAUGCACAACAAUACAUUGCUGCUGGGAACUAUGCCUUUACUAUGCUUCAGUAAAGAAAGGAUGCAUUGGAGAAAUAUAUACAAUUUGUCCAAAAUAAAAGAAUAGGAAAGGAACCUGGAUAUUUCCUUCACAGAAAAGAUGUGGUUCUGGCAAGGACACAGUACAGGUUGCACUGACACAUCUGAUGUUGAAAUGUGCACAAACUGCAGCUACAAGAGGAAUCCUAUGAACCCUCGAUUUCCAGGUGCAUGGAAACAAAGAAAAAGAAACAAAGCCCUGAACUUGGAGCUGGGGAUCCAUGCAAUCAUCUUUCCACCUAUGUCUCUUGCAGCUGGCACAGAAAGACCCGUACAAGCUACUUCUCUUUGACCUGAACAUUUACUUUAAAGAGGCGGUUUAUUUACUUAUUUGGAGCUUUUAUAUGCCAUCUCAGUCUCAUAAGCCUCGGGACGGCUUCCAACAUAAUAAAUAAACAGUAUAUUAUCUGGAUCC